rnacentral:rRNA from 1 species
GACGAACGCUGGCGGCGUGCUUAACACAUGCAAGUCGAACGGAAAGGCCCUGCUUUUGUGGGGUGCUCGAGUGGCGAACGGGUGAGUAACACGUGAGUAACCUGCCCUUGACUUUGGGAUAACUUCAGGAAACUGGGGCUAAUACCGGAUAGGAGCUCCUGCUGCAUGGUGUGGGUUUGAAAGUUUCGGCGGUUGGGGAUGGACUCGCGGCUUAUCAGCUUGUUGGUGGGGUAGUGGCUUACCAAGGCUUUGACGGGUAGCCGGCCUGAGAGGGUGACCGGCCACAUUGGGACUGAGAUACGGGCAAGACUCCUACGGGAGGAAGCAGUGGGGAAUAGUGCAAAAUGGGCGGAAGCCUGAAGCAGCAACGCCGCGUGCGGGAUGACGGCCUUAGGGUUGUAAACCGCUUGCGCCUGUGAAGAAGAGUGAGUGACGGUAAUGGGUAAAGAAGCAACGGCUAACUACGUG